GACAUAGCCCUACAGUACUCUUGUAAGGUGAAGCCUGCCCAAUGACUGUUAAUAAUCCAAUUAAAACCAGUUCAAUGGCCGCGGUAACUCUGACCGUGAUAAAGUAGCAUAAUCACUUGUCACUUAAUUAGUGACUGGAAUGAAUGGCUAAACGAAUCCUCCUCUGUCUCUGAAAGAACUCCGGCGAAUUUGAAAUAACAGUGAAGAUGCUGUUAAAUAAUUGUAAGACGAAAAGACCCUAUCGAGCUUUACUGAAAGCUUGUAAACAAAUAUGGUUAUCACCAACGAACUCUUAAAAAUUGCAAGCCUGACAGUUUGGUUGGGGCGACCACCCCUAAAAAAGUAUCAGGGGAACUCUAAAGGUUACCAUAAUAUGGAAAAUUGCCUUACUGGAGACAAACAAGUCAAUCAGUUAUAAUUUAUAGGACAUAUUGACCCGUUAUUUUGUUCAUAAUAAAUAACGACUAUGAAAAAAGUUACCGUAGGGAUAACAGGGUAAUAUUUUCAGAGAGUUCAUAUCGAUGAAAAUGUUUGCCACCUCGAUGUUGAAUUAUGAUAUCCUAAGGGUGCAGCAGCUCUUAAGGGUUGGUCUGUUCGACCAUUAAAAUCAUACAUGAUUUGAGUUCAUUCCGUCGUAAGACA
rnacentral:rRNA from 1 species